rnacentral:tRNA from 1 species
UUGGUCUAAUUAUACAUCUGAUUGCAAGUUGGAUUUCUAGCUUUAAAAGGCUGUUAGGCCU